rnacentral:misc_RNA from 1 species
UUUCUUUAUUAUGUAUUGACAUGCAUUCAUUAACCAGGGUGUGUGAAUAAAGCGGCUAUUCGGGGUAUUCCCUUUUGCCAGCAGAGGUGCACAAUGUUUAGGAGUGGUUUCGGACUCUACAAGUAGACAUCCUAUAAUUCACUAAUGAUCCUUCCGCAGGUUCACCUACGGAAA